rnacentral:tRNA from 1 species
CGGACUUUAGCUCAGUUGGUAGAGCGGAGGACUGUAGUUGGAGUACUAAUCUGAACUAUAAUUCUUAAGUCGCUGGUUUGAAUCUGGCAGGUCGGA